rnacentral:lncRNA from 1 species
GGCUGCUGGAUGUAGUCAAGUACUUGACUUGUCGAUGCGUGUGUCAAGAUGGGAUUGACCACUCCAGUUUAGGAGCUGUGUACAGUCGUGUUUCAAUUUAGCAAAACCUUGACCAGGAUAGUCCUAGUGAGGAGUCACAGGACUAAUUGAGUUGAGCACGAUUCGGAUGAUCUCAUCAGGGUUGACAGUUUAAUCCUGAGUCGUCUUAAACAUAGGGGUCAAAAGGGAUGAAUUAUACAGUAACCAUAUUCACGUAGGUUCUGAAUGUUGUGAUUGUGACUAUUCGACCUAUCCAGUCAUCGGGUACCAUUGCUAGAUGGUCACUUCGAUUAGUACAGGAAUUGGUUCCUGUGCUACCGGCUUAGGUUCGAACCUACAGGGUCACACACAUUAGAGGUUCCUUUCUGAUCUGAUGGCUAAUUAUGAGUCUUAUGUGUCUGGGACUCUAUGAUUGAGAAUUAGGAUUCUCUAAUCAUGAGUUUCACACAUUUUGGGUACC